UAAUUUCUAGAAGCGUGUCUACUCUUCAUGGAGGACACAGGUUUCUGCUUGGAGUUUUAACAUUUGUUGUGAUCACCUUUGGCUGCAUUGCAAUGGAACAUUCACCUUUUUGUCUCAUGUGUCAAUGAGCUGUGGGACAGUUGAGCAUGCUGAAAAGGACCAGGCCAGCCACUGUUUUUCUGUAAUUAGUAAGCAUGUCUUUAUUGUGUUUUUGUUUGUUUGGUUGGUUAUCUGUGACUUUGCCUCUGGGCCUACCACCCAUGUGCACCGAUCAUAGUAGCAUUGUACAGUAAUUAGUGGUGCUAUUGAUUCUGGUGGUUCUCCUCCCUAACUAUGUCUUCUGCUUAGACCCUGUACAAGGCCCGAUCCACACUGAUGCUUUGCCUCUUCUUGCCAAGGGACCACAUUGGGAGACAUGUCUUGGUGUGUACUAUAACUACAACACUGUGUGAUAUUUUGUAGUGGUAUCUAAAGACCUUAAGAGUGUAGUGCUUGCUGGAACACAACACGUGUGAUUUUGUAGUGGUAUCUGAAGAUCUUGAGUGUAGUGCUUGCUGUGUUGCAUGCUUCGUCUGGUGUUGGGUUGCUGUCUCCUGUUUUUUCUCUCACCAGGGUCCUCCUGAGCAGGGGUUUUGCAUUGGCUGAUCCGACCUUCCUAGACUGAGGAAAAUCCACCAGUUGAUUAUAGCAGUAUUUUAAGCUCUA